ensembl:antisense AA645442 expressed sequence AA645442
GAACAGCUUUGGCCUGGGAAAGUCUGAGUGGCUGCAGCAGAAGGCAUGCUCUCACUUCAGAGGUCCAGGUCAUCAGCCUGGCAAGGAUUUUUAUUUCCUGGACCUUCUCUUCCCACUCUGAGCAGAUUAGCUGAUCAAAUCGACUGAUAGCAUUGGACUGAGAGGUCAAGCACCCUCCAAUAGGAUAUGACAUGGUCAAAACCUAUGCCUUGUUGGCCUCAGCGUGUUGCUACCCCAGUUUGUGUUCAAGCAAACCCCUUUGAAAAAUUAAUUUCCUUGCCAAGA